GAUGAACGCUGGCGGCGUGCCUAAUACAUGCAAGUAGAACGCUGAAGGAAGGAGCUUGCUCUUUCCGGAUGAGUUGCGAACGGGUGAGUAACGCGUAGGUAACCUGCCUGGUAGCGGGGGAUAACUAUUGGAAACGAUAGCUAAUACCGCAUAACAGUAGAUGUUGCAUGAUAUCUACUUAAAAGGUGCAAUUGCACCACUACCAGAUGGACCUGCGUUGUAUUAGCCAGUUGGUGAGGUAACGGCUCACCAAGGCGACGAUACAUAGCCGACCUGAGAGGGUGAUCGGCCACACUGGGACGGAGACACGGCCCAGAAUCCUACGGGAGGCAGCAGUAGGGAAUCUUCGGAAAUGGACGGAAGUCUGACCGAGCAACGCCGCGUGAGUGAAGAAGGGUUUCGGAUCGUAAAGCUCUGUUGUAAGAGAAGAACGAGUGUGAGAGUGGAAAGUUCACACUGUGACGGUAUCUUACCAGAAAGGGACGGCUAACUACGUG
rnacentral:rRNA from 1 species